rnacentral:lncRNA from 1 species
CGGCCCCCCAGCCAGGGGUCCUUACUAGGCUGGCGGCUCUCGGCCCCUUCGCCUUCCCUCGCAAACCUACCCCCACCUCCAACACUCCGAGCGGACUCAGCGCAAGGAAGGAAACCCGGAACGGGGGCGGCGGCCCGAGGCGCACGCACGCUACCAGCUUCCGGCAAUCCACGGGUUAAAACGAAGCGGCGGCGCGCGCGGAGGGGAGAGGCGGUUGCUGACAGGUGGCGCCUGCGCACUGGGAUCGCUCAUUGUGCCCCGCAGCUGCCUAGCCGCCCGCCCGCCGCCCGUUCGGCGAGUCAGUCGGCGGAGAGUCCAGUGGUGGGUGCGGAUCUUGAGAUCGUUCCUGCGGCCUCUUCUUCCUCCCCGUUCCCCUCACCCUACCCCACACCCUUUACCUUCUUCCCAGCUCCGUCACCCUCCCGCCCCCCACACUCGAGACGAGAAUGCCCUGCCCGGAACAACCUAGCAGCGCCUAGAUGGCUUUGGUCACGGUCCAGCGGUCGCCUACCCCCAGCACCACCUCCAGCCCCUGCGCCUCGGAGGCAGACAGUGGGGAAGAGGAAUGCCGGUCACAGCCCAGAAGGUAUAUCUUUUCAUUAUAUCCUAUAGUGCCUUUAUAUUUACUGGUUUUUCUUGAAAUCUUUUUCAGUCUUGUCAGAUUAGCUUAAUCCUGAUUUUCCAAGAUGCUUCAUUGUUCUUUCAAAAAUGAGACUGCUGGGGCUGGGGAUUUAACUCACUGGUGCUGCCUCCUGCCUUG